UACGUAGGGGGCAAGCGUUGUCCGGAUUUAUUGGGCGUAAAGAGCGUGUAGGCGGCCACACAGGUCAGCUGUGAAAACUCGAGGCUCAACCUCGAGACGUCGGUUGAAACCGUAUGGCUAGAGUCCGGAAGAGGAGAGUGGAAUUCCCGGUGUAGCGGUGAAAUGCGCAGAUAUCGGGAAGAACACCCGUGGCGAAGGCGGCUCUCUGGGACGGUACUGACGCUGAGACGCGAAAAGCGUGGGGGAGCGAACAGG
rnacentral:rRNA from 1 species